ensembl:lncRNA
CCCCCCCCCCCAUAAUCAAGGGACUGCAUAUAUAUAAAUGCUGUCCCACUGGGGACAGGCUCACAGACUCACACACAUUCGACAACAUUUUUAUUAUUUUUCUACUUUUUAUUAAUCAGCAUGCCAGUUUUGCGAAGGACCUGCUGAUGGGAUGCUGGGACUCCACCUGCGCAUAGAGAGAAUGAAGACGCUGAUCUCAAAUGCCAACACGAUCUCUGGCUCCCUCGCCCUCUGGGCCUCUGGUCUGUCUUUUUCUUUCUGGAGAAGGUUGUUCAAGUUUUUCCAGCCUGCAGGAUUCUUCCUGGUUUGCCAGAAGCUGUGUGAUAUGUUUGAUAUUCGGUUGUUCUUGUGCUUUAUAAUGUCAACUAAAUAUCAGACAUAUUCCUACAGAGUCCGGCACUGACUUCUGACCUUGCUUCAUCCCUGAAAAAAGGCCUGUGUGACGUGAGACGUUCUGCAAAAUAAAUAUGGCGCCAAUGGAAAUCUUUACAAGUACAUGAUUGCAAUUCUUAAAUAGCAAAUUUUUAAAAUAUAUACGUAAAUGAUUAAGCUUGAGAAUGAUCUCUUUAUACUCUGAAUGACGCAAAUAAAAAAAAUGAGUGAAUAUCGGC